rnacentral:lncRNA from 1 species
AGCCUCGGUCCGACAGCCAUGGCCCAGGCCGCGGUGGCGGUGGCAGAGGUGACCCAGUUGCUGUGCGCGGCGGGGGGCGCCUUGGAGUUGGCGGAGCUGAGGCGCCGCUUGCGAACCAGCCUGGGCGCCGACGCGCUGGAGCGGCUGCUGCGGGACCGCGGGCGCUUCGUGGUGGCCUCGCGGGAGGGCACGGGCCCGGCGACCGCGGCGGCGGCGGCCUCGGAGCGCGUGGUAGUGGCUGUGUCGUCGCUGCGUCUGUGCCGCGCGCACCAGGGCCCCAAGC